ACGCCCAGUCUGGCGUGACCACCAUGGAUUCGGCUGGGACAAAUACGGGAAUCCAAAUUGAGGAUUUUGAUUGGGAGAGCUCAGGGCUCUCUCAUAACUCUGCCAACACAGGUGUUACCAUGCCAGAAAUGGAAUGUCCAUUGAAGACCGAGGACAUUGAAUCUCUACGCGUUGCCAUUGAUCCCCUUUCUCAUUCAAAUAGUUUUGGAAAAUACAUUUAUUUGACCACA